GAGGGUGUAACGGGAGAUAUCCGAGUAGGCGAGAGGGGGAGACUNCNCGNGUNCACGCCGGGCACCUGCAGGCUGCUUUUUGGGAUGCACNNNGCGCGCGCGGUCGCGCCGCAAGGCGCGUUCCGUGUCGGUCCGGACGCCCCCGCGGUCCAGGUAUAAGUCCUUGGUGUGGCGAGGUGCACUUCUCCUCCGAGUAGGACGCCGCGACUCGUUGGGCACCGGUCUGUAGGGGCUCGGGAAUUGACCUUAGGCGACCUCCGAAGCCGUUUUGGCUCGGGUUAAAGGUCGCCGGGAACCCGUUCUUUGCCUGGCCGGAGCCCGACGGUAGAGUUGGCGGAGAUGGCCCGCUCCUUUUGCGAGUGAGCGUCCGAACCGGGGGCAAGCUCUUCGGGUAGGCUUCGGUGGUUCGUGGCUAACGCCACGUCCCCGGCCCCCGUCGGUUGUUGGUCUCCGGAUCUCUCGGACGGUAGCCGUCUCCCGUCGGCGGCGCUUAAAGGUUCGGUCUCUUUCCCGACCCGUCUUGAAACACGGACCAAAGGAGUCU
rnacentral:rRNA from 1 species